rnacentral:rRNA from 1 species
UACGUAGGGUGCGAGCGUUGUCCGGAAUUAUUGGGCGUAAAGGGCUCGUAGGCGGCUUGUCGCGUCGUCCGUGAAAAACUUGGGGCUCAACCCCAAGCUUGCGGUCGAUACGGGCAGGCUAGAGUUCGGUAGGGGAGACUGGAAUUCCUGGUGUAGCGGUGAAAUGCGCAGAUAUCAGGAGGAACACCCGUGGCGAAGGCGGCUCUCUGGGACGGUACUGACGCUGAGACGCGAAAAGCGUGGGGGAGCGAACAGGG